rnacentral:tRNA from 1 species
GCCCCGGUAGCUCAGUUGGAUAGAGCAGCGGUCUUCUAAACCGCAGGUCGCGCGUUCGAAUCGUGCCCGGGGCG